rnacentral:lncRNA from 1 species
CCAGACACUUGCACCUGAAACAGCACGCAGAGAGUUUGACUGACAGAUGUCAUUUAUUGAAGAAGUGGGUGCUGGGGAUGCCUAAUUUUGUGUGCUGGGCAUGCUGGUUGCUCACAUGCUGGGGUUUCUGAGGGUGCACAUGCGGUGGGUGCUGAGCGUUGCGGGUGCUGAGCUCUUGGUGCUGAGCAUGCUGAGUCCUGGGGAUGUUUGGGUUUUGAGAACUAGGCCAUGAGGUGCUAGGUACCGGGGGUGCGCAGAUGCUAGGUCUGAGGAGUGCUGGAGGUGCCGAGUUCUGUGUAUUGUGUGCACUGAGUGCAAGGUGUGCUGGUAGCUGGGUGCAAGAGGUUCCUGGUUCUGAGUGCUGAUGUGGUCUAGGUGCUGAGGGUGUCCUGGUUCUGGGAGCUGGGCAUGCUGGUGUCAGUAGGGCAAUGGUGACCACCGUCUGGGCUUGGGUGUACCCAAGCGGUGAGGAAGGCUCACAGCGUCUUCCAGGCAGGAGCUGAGGAGGGUGAGAGCCACCAGGACACCAGGCAGUGGUGUCGACUUCAGGGAGAGUGUCCAGGAAGUGCUGGAGGAAGGCCUUUCCCUUCUCCUCUGGUGGCGGGUGGUGCAUGGAGGAUGGUGCACUGGGUUGGAAGGCACCCAUGUCAUACUGUGGGCAGAAAGUUUGCAGUCAGCAGAGGGGGUGGGUAGGGCCAUCCAUUUGGCAUGGGGACAGGUUGGAUGAGGACCCUGUCCUGAAGUGAGGUGGGGGCAUCCCUCCAACAUGGAGCUGAGAUGGCUCUCCGGCAUGCAAUGGGGAUGUCCCUGUGGAGACGAGGGGGCAAGCUCAAUCUCUUCACCUACAGCCAGGCAUGACCACCUCAAGGCAAACAUCAGCUGCCCUCUUGCGAGGAUCCCGCUGGUGGCUUGUCCCCUCUGUCCUUGGUUGGGUGGCUCUGGCCCCCAGCAGCCUGGGAUGUCUGAGGGGCUGGACCCGCUCUGGGACUUCAGUGCCAACCAGGAGUGCCCUCCCUGUUCCCACGUGUCCCCCACACUGCCCUUCUCCCUCAC